CGUAGGGGGCGAGCGUUGUCCGGAAUCAUUGGGCGUAAAGAGCGUGUAGGCGGCCCGGUAAGUCCGCUGUGAAAACCCGGGGCUCAACCCCGGGCGUGCAGUGGAAACUGCCGGGCUAGAGGGCGGCAGAGGCGAGUGGAAUUCCCGGUGUAGCGGUGAAAUGCGCAGAUAUCGGGAGGAACACCGGUAGCGAAAGGCGGCUCGCUGGGCCGUUCCUGACGCUGAGACGCGAAAGCUAGGGGAGCGAACAGGAUU
rnacentral:rRNA from 1 species